UGAACGCUGGCGGCGUGCCUAAUACAUGCAAGUCGAGCGAACAGACGAGGAGCUUGCUCCUCUGACGUUAGCGGCGGACGGGUGAGUAACACGUGGAUAACCUACCUAUAAGACUGGGAUAACUUCGGGAAACCGGAGCUAAUACCGGAUAAUAUCUUGAACCGCAUGGUUCAAUAGUGAAAGACGGUUUUGCUGUCACUUAUAUAUGGACCCGCGCCGCAUUAGCUAGUUGGUAAGGUAACGGCUUACCAAGGCGACGAUGCGUAGCCGACCUGAGAGGGUGAUCGGCCACACUGGAACUGAGACACGGUCCAGACUCCUACGGGAGGCAGCAGUAGGGAAUCUUCCGCAAUGGGCGAAAGCCUGACGGAGCAACGCCGCGUGAGUGAUGAAGGUCUUCGGAUCGUAAAACUCUGUUAUUAGGGAAGAACAAAUGUGUAAGUAACUAUGCACGUCUUGACGGUACCUAAUCAGAAAGCCACGGCUAACUACGUG
rnacentral:rRNA from 1 species